UCUCCUUUACCUACAUUUCGAUGAAGAGACGCCAAGAUGCGCCAGCUUCUUUCAAAGCUUGGGCUGUAGAUCUCUGCGGUCAAUGAUGAUUGCUUCUCUUUAUGAACGUAUUGCUUCUUGAAAUACUUAGAUUGUUCUCAGGUACAUCUUCAACAUAGCACAGAAAGAAGCAGGUUUAAAAUUUUGUAAGUUUUCUGUACCGGUAUGUUGUGAUUUAAACUCUUCAAAUGGCGUUUUUUGCUUGAGCUAAGAUUCUGUAAUUUUGUGCUUCCCCAUCCCCCUUCUUGUAAUUGUACUCGUCUCCUCACUGUACUUAGCAUAUUGGUUGAAUGGAAUUUCAUAAAAUGUUAUGAAAUUUGUUAGCAAAUUGGUUGAAAUGAAUUCCAUAAAAUGUGUUCAACUUAAAUGAAAGUUCAUUGAGAUUAAAAUGUUUUCAACUAUUAUGAAAUUUAUUUGAAAAUUUAAAAUUUCUGUGCAUUAAAUAAUGAAAGUUAACAUAAUCAAAUUUAUAUGAAAUUAACUAUAAUUAAAUUAUAUUUUAAUAAAAUAGAUAGAAUUUUUAAAAUUAGUUAGUCAAUAUAUUUAAUAGUAUAAAAUAUUUUUUUCAAUUUUAUUAUUUUUAUUUUAUUUUUUAUUCAUGUCUUAUUCUUAAAUGAAAUUAAUUUUUUAAUAAAUUUUAACUAAAUAUAAUAUUAUAAUUCUAUAUAAUUAAAUUUAUGAAUCGAGUAUAUCUAAAUUGAAUUUUAACAAAAUAAGUAUAAUUUUUAAAUAAAUUUUAUAUUAAUAAAUCAAUAUAUUUUAUAAAAUUGAAAUAUAUAUUUUUUAAUUUUUUUAUUUCGUUUUAUUUUCUUUUUCAUGUCUUCUCUUUUUUAUAAUUUUUUUAUAAUAUUUAUUUUCAACACGACAUUACUUCAUUUGAAAAGAAAUUCAUAGUUACUGUAUAAAAAUUUAAAUAAAAUUUUUAAUAGAUUUUAACCGAAUAUAACGUUGAAAUUUUUUCAACUCGAAUUUUAAUAUUAGAUAAACUCUAACAAAAUUCUGAACACAACAUUGUCCUUGGUUUGUGAUGCUAUGGUAAAAUGAUGAGCAUUAGUUGGCUUGAAUCAUAUAAAACUGAGCUAAAAACUAUAUUUCCCUCUGGUGGUCUGAUGUUUUCCUUCACUGAAUGUAGCUAAGAUGAGAAAGUGAAACCCUAGAAUUAUGCAAAUUCAUGUAAUGUGUGGCUGAGAUUGCGACUGUUCCUGAUGACGGUGGGUUGGAGAUAUGAUUUAUGGCCACAUGUAGAUCACAUGACCAACUAGUUGUAGAUGGAGCUUGGUGACUUGGAGCUGAGGUGGCAAGCAGCUCAAUAAUUUUUAUUUAAAUUUGUGGACAUAACAGAGAUGGAAAAAGAAUAUAUAUAUAUAUUCGGAAUAUGCUUUGCUAUAAAUAUUGUUGUCGCACUUGUAAAAGAUAAAAGACAUUAUUUAGACUCCAUAACAAUACUUGUGUAAAAAAAUUUAAAAACCUAAUUUUCAGAAUUGAUUUAUGGAUGGCACUUUGGAGGAAUAAUUAAA
rnacentral:lncRNA from 1 species